rnacentral:snoRNA from 1 species
UGGAUUGAUGAUGACUGCUGGUGGCGUAUGGGUCAUAUGCGCUGAAUUGGUGUUUGUGUUUACAUGUUUUGAUUCUGU